rnacentral:tRNA from 1 species
UCCUCAGUAGCUCAAUGGUAGAACGGUCGGCUGUUAACCGAUUGGUCGUAGGUUCAAAUCCUACUUGGGGAG